rnacentral:rRNA from 1 species
AACGCUAGCUACAGGCUUAACACAUGCAAGUCGAGGGGAAACGAUAGGAUUAGCUUGCUAAUUUUAGGUGUCGACCGGCGAAUGGGUGAGUAACGCGUAUCCAACCUGGCCCAAAGUAGGGAACAGCCCGUCGAAAGGCGGAUUAAUGCCCUAUGUUUUCAUCAAAUUACAUGAGAAGAUGAAAAAAGAUUUAUCGCUUUGGGAUGGGGAUGCGUCUGAUUAGGCAGUCGGCGGGGUAACGGCCCACCGAACCGACGAUCAGUAGGGGUUCUGAGAGGAAGGUCCCCCACAUUGGAACUGAGACACGGUCCAAACUCCUACGGGAGGCAGCAGUGAGGAAUAUUGGUCAAUGGGCGAGAGCCUGAACCAGCCAAGUAGCGUGCAGGAUGAUGGCCCUAUGGGUUGUAAACUGCUUUUAUACGGGAAUAAAGUGAGUCACGUGUGAUUCAUUGCAUGUACCGUACGAAUAAGGACCGGCUAAUUCCGUGCCAGCAGCCGCGGUAAUACGGAAGGUCCAGGCGUUAUCCGGAUUUAUUGGGUUUAAAGGGAGCGUAGGCCGCCGAAUAAGCGUGUUGUGAAAUGUAGAUGCUUAACAUCUGAAUUGCAGCGCGAACUGUUUGGCUUGAGUACGCACAACGUAGGCGGAAUUUGUGGUGUAGCGGUGAAAUGCUUAGAUAUCACGAAGAACUCCGAUUG